AUGGUGUGUGCGUCUGUCUGUGUCACGGUCUGUCUGUGUCAUGGUGUGUGUGUGUUUGUCAUGGUGUGUGUGUUUGUCAUGGUGUGUGUCUGUCUCUGUCAUGUAAUGUGUGUCUGUGUCACGGUGUGUGUGUGUCUGUGUCACGAUCUCUCUGUGUCUGUCUGUGUCGUGUAUGUGUCUGUGUCAAGGUCUGUGUUAUGGUGUGUGUGUCAAGGUGUGUGUGUCUUUUUUAAGGUGUGUCUGUC